UGUUAUGGCCUCUUUGAAUUUCAAUUUGCAUUUCACAUUUGCAAAACAAUUUGUGAGAUUCUUAUUAUGAUAUCACCCUUUAAAUUUUUGUGAGAUUUUCUGAGGUGGUUUCUUUAAAUUGGUACCUUACUUCUUUCCUUUGAACAUUAAUAAAGUCUCAAAGCUUAUACUUCUUUCAGUGAUUGAAUUGCAGGUUUUAACCAGAGGCAUUGAUUGUAAUAUAGUUUUGCUACCAGUAGAAAGAAAGGAAAUUUGGAAAGAAGCUGAACCUCUCUAUUUAGGACAUUUGCCACGUCUUCAAGUUUAAAUUGCUAUCUUUCUUUGGUGGAAUCUGUUGUUCGUUCUAUGCAAUGUGUAUGGAUUUUGUCCUUUCGCAUUAUCCCUUUCAUCUAUGUGCAAAAGCUAAAAUAUGUUAUAUAAGGACUAAACAAAUCAUCAUAGAUGAUCCUUUUGAUGCCUUGGUUGAAUUGUUGUAGCUUGUUGACUAAUAACAAAGAUAAAUUGCCAAAGGCAUAAAGAGCUACAGGUGAUUUAGUAUCCUUAACUUUUGGAUCAUGAUGUCAUUUCUUGAUUCAUAUCUGAUUUCAAAUCUAUUAAUAUUGGUAUAUGACUGACACAAUGUCAUCAUAUUGAAUUGAAUUCCUCCCAUUUCCUAUCUCAUUGUUAAUAAUAUCAGUUGUAUCAGCUUAAUGUAGCUAUAUAAUUUCCACUAAUGUGUAAAUCUAGAAUUAAUUUAGUUAUUAUGUGAUUGUUAAAUACAGAGGUUAAAGUAUGUGGAUUGGUAUAUAUAUUUGACUAUUCCUGUCAGUAAAUCACUUGUUUGAAAUCUAAACUGCAUGGCUUCCUUAUGAGCAGGAUUUGGUAGCUGUUGUAGGAUAUCCCCUUGGAGGAGACACCAUUUCAGUAACAAAGGGUGUCAUAUCACGCAUAGAGGUAACAUCAUAUGCUCAUGGGUCAUUCAAUUUGUUGGGCACUCAAAUUGAUGCAGCAAUAAAUCCUGAGAAGGAGAAUUUGUGUCUCUAUGGAUUUCCAAAUGAGACAUGGGAAGUUAAUCUACCUAUUGAGGAGGUGCCUCCUGAGCUUCUAGAACCAGCCUUAGGUACAAAUCAUGCUAGGGAUGGGAUUCGAAAAAAGGAUUGGUUGUCACUAGUUGCCAACGCAAUUGUCACACAAAUAUUUAUUUUAGAGCAAGUUAUCCCUUUCCGGUGCUGUUUCACCUGUAAUAGUGGAAUUGACUGCCCAAUUCAUACUGAAAACUACUUAUAUUGUGAGAGUAAUCAUAUGCUAUCUUUUGUAUA